rnacentral:lncRNA from 1 species
CUUAUGGACUUCUCCCCCAAACUCAUCCCUCCAGAUUCUCCCAUGUAUGUGGCAGUCUCCCCACAACCUCCGACAUUAGAGGGGACCCCAAGAUUCCUGACCCGUAUCCCCUUUAACAGAAUACCCAUCACUGACACACCAGUGUACACUUCGCUCCUACAUUUCUGGAAUCCAAAACUUGACAGGCAGUAGAAAUUUAAUAAGAGCUGAAGAGCAAAUCUCAGCACGUCUCUAAAGCAACCCAGAAUCAAAGUCUGGAAGCAAAUAGGCCAUUGCUCUCUUCUCUCCCUGGCCUGGCUGGCAGGCAGGGUGUGAGGGAACUGGGUGUGUCAGGCGAGGGGAGAAGGCCUCCAGAACAUACCAUUAUGAUUAUCUAACAAUAACAACACUCUUGCUGGCAAAGUCCUCCAAGAAGAUUAAAAGCAUGAGGU